AGCAGCCGCGGUAAUUCCAGCUCCAAUAGCGUAUAUUAAAGUUGUUGCAGUUAAAAAGCUCGUAGUUGAACUUCGGGGUUCACCCAUUGGUCAGGCUUAAUUGUCUGCACUGGUGAGAUGAGUCUCUACCUUCUGAGGAACUUUCAUGCCAUUUAUUUGGUGUGAUUGGAAAUCAGGACUGUUACUUUAGAAAAAAUUAGAGUGUUUAAAGCAGGCUAACGCCUGAAUACAUUAGCAUGGAAUAAUGAAAUAGGACGGACUGAUUCUAUUUCGUUGGUUUCUAGGAUCACCGUAAUGAUUAAUAGGGAUAGUUGGGGGCAUUAGUAUUCAAUUGUCAGAGGUGAAAUUCUUGGAUUUAUUGAAGACUAACUACUGCGAAAGCAUUUGCCAAGGAUGUUUUCAUUAAUCAAGAACGAAAGUUAGGGGAUCGAAGACGAUCAGAUACCGUCGUAGUCUUAACCAAUAAACCUAAUGCCGACUAGGGAGUCGGACGAAAGUUAAUUUUAAUAAUGAACGCGUU
rnacentral:rRNA from 1 species